UACUGACUCUUGGCUAGUUUGAAGAA
rnacentral:misc_RNA from 1 species